rnacentral:rRNA from 1 species
UACGAAGGGUGCAAACGUUGCUCGGAAUUAUUGGGCGUAAAGCGCACGUAGGCGGCUUUGCAAGUCGGAUGUGAAAUCCCUCGGCUUAACCAAGGAAGUGCAUCCGAAACUGCAGAGCUUGAGUACUUAAGAGGAUCGCGGAAUUCCCGGUGUAGAGGUGAAAUUCGUAGAUAUCGGGAGGAACACCGGUGGCGAAGGCGGGACUCUGGGCCUACCCUGACGCUGAGGCGCGAAGGCGUGGGGAGCAAACGGG